CAUUAAAACACAAAAAGCCCAGCUUCUUCCCCUUCUUCAGAAACUCGUCGUCGCCUGAAGAAGCCCUUCUUCCCCUUCUUCAGAAACACUUCGCCAUCUUCGCAUCUCUGCUAGAAAUUCCUCCGCCUUUCUCCCUCUCUCUCGCUCCUUCUCUCUCUAGCAGCUGAUUCUCGGCGUCCUAGGCUCCGAUUCCCGCUUCCGCCGCCUGCGAUUGUCGCUGUCGCGGCCGCUGAUUCUCGUCGUCGCCGCCUAGUUGCCGACAAACCGCUGUUUCGUUUCUUACCAAAAUGUAAACUUCUCUUUCUUUUGCAGAUGACCCUCUCGGUGAUCCCAACCUCCUUGGUGACCGUUACUGUGCUCUCUUCGUCGUUCGCCUUUCUCACCAGACCAUCGAACACACGCUUCGCAAGGUCUUCAAUCAGGGAACGACGUUAUUUCUAUUUAUCUCUUAAGUGCUGCUUAAUGUCUAUAUCAUUACCCUGGGAAUACAUCGCUAAUGAUCUUUUGUUCAAGGUAUGUCUCUUCGGUUGUAAAGCUUGUGAAAAGAGGGAGAUUUCAAGAAUAGAUGGUAAAAGCUUUAUGAGCAAAUCCCAAUUUGUUGUUGCUCUUCCUAGAAUGGUUGCCAGCUGUCGUGGCGAGGGUUAAUCACGGGCAAUGUUAAGGCUGCAGUGGACUUGUUUCAUGAACAUUUUGGGAUAAAUCUGCCGUCAAAUCAUCCUGAACCUUCCAUCCCAAGAAGAGAAGAUCUUCUACCACCGCCACUACCGG